rnacentral:rRNA from 1 species
GAUGAACGCUGGCGGCGUGCCUAAUACAUGCAAGUCGAGCGAACGGACGAGAAGCUUGCUUCUCUGAUGUUAGCGGCGGACGGUGAGUAACACGUGGAUAACCUACCUAUAAGACUGGGAUAACUUCGGGAAACCGGAGCUAAUACCGGAUAAUAUUUUGAACCGCAUGGUUCAAAAGUGAAAGACGGUCUUGCUGUCACUUAUAGAUGGAUCCGCGCUGCAUUAGCUAGUUGGUAAGGUAACGGCUUACCAAGGCAACGAUGCAUAGCCGACCUGAGAGGGUGAUCGGCCACACUGGAACUGAGACACGGUCCAGACUCCUACGGGAGGCAGCAGUAGGGAAUCUUCCGCAAUGGGCGAAAGCCUGACGGAGCAACGCCGCGUGAGUGAUGAAGGUCUUCGGAUCGUAAAACUCUGUUAUUAGGGAAGAACAUAUGUGUAAGUAACUGUGCACAUCUUGACGGUACCUAAUCAGAAAGCCACGGCUAACUACGUG